CAGAGCUAGAGGGAACUGCUGUGGAUGGAGCUGUAUUAGCGUGACUCACAAUUCUCUUCUUUCCACUGCUCUGUGUGCAGGGAAAUAAAGUAAAAUAUCAUCCACAAUCUCAGUGUGUGUGAGUGCUGUGGAAGAAUGGGGCAAACCGGGCCAGAUUAACCAAAGGUCACAUAUACAACUCAAAAUGUAAUAUGAACAAUACGAAUAUGAACAUAUUCACUGGUAAAGGUGAAGGGGAGUAGCUUGAAGAUGUCAUGUUUCAAAAUAACUUGACAUCACCCAACAUUCCUCCGGAGGCAAAACGUCCUCUUAGGCUUCGGCUAUGGCUCUAGGGUUUUUGUGAAGGUA